CGUGAAGGACGACCUUCCUUUCCUCCCAUCAUAUCGCCGGGACGACCCGG
rfam:Aurantimonas manganoxydans SI85-9A1 scf_1099451004081 genomic scaffold, whole genome shotgun sequence.